UAGAAUUCCAGGUGUAGCGGUGAAAUGCGUAGAGAUCUGGAGGAAUACCGGUGGCGAAGGCGGCCCCCUGGACAAAGACUGACGCUCAGGUGCGAAAGCGUGGGGAGCAAACAGGAUUAGAUACCCUGGUAGUCCACGCCGUAAACGAUGUCUACUUGGAGGUUGUGCCCUUGAGGCGUGGCUUCCGGAGCUAACGCGUUAAGUAGACCGCCUGGGGAGUACGGCCGCAAGGUUAAAACUCAAAUGAAUUGACGGGGGCCCGCACAAGCGGUGGAGCAUGUGGUUUAAUUCGAUGCAACGCGAAGAACCUUACCUGGUCUUGACAUCCACAGAACUUUCCAGAGAUGGAUUGGUGCCUUCGGGAACUGUGAGACAGGUGCUGCAUGGCUGUCGUCAGCUCGUGUUGUGAAAUGUUGGGUUAAGUCCCGCAACGAGCGCAACCCUUAUCCUUUGUUGCCAGCGAUUAGG
rnacentral:rRNA from 1 species